AUUGAACGCUGGCGGCAUGCCUUACACAUGCAAGUCGAACGGUAACAGGUCUUCGGAUGCUGACGAGUGGCGAACGGGUGAGUAAUACAUCGGAACGUGCCCGAUCGUGGGGGAUAACGAAGCGAAAGCUUUGCUAAUACCGCAUAAGAUCUACGGAUGAAAGCAGGGGACCGCAGGGCCUUGCGCGAACGGAGCGGCCGAUGGCAGAUUAGGUAGUUGGUGGGAUAAAAGCUUACCAAGCCGACGAUCUGUAGCUGGUCUGAGAGGACGACUAGCCACACUGGGACUGAGACACGGCCCAGACUCCUACGGGAGGCAGCAGUGGGGAAUUUUGGACAAUGGGCGAAAGCCUGAUCCAGCCAUGCCGCGUGCAGGAUGAAGGCCUUCGGGUUGUAAACUGCUUUUGUACGGAACGAAAAGACUCUUUCUAAUAAAGAGGGUCCAUGACGGUACCGUAAGAAUAAGCACCGGCUAACUACGUGCCAGCCGCCGCCGUAAAAC
rnacentral:rRNA from 1 species